GAAGGACUGUGUCUCUGGAGGGCAGAGAACUGCCAGCACCCUGGACAGAGCCGUGCUGCUAGCCGGGAUCGGGAGAGUGAGAGACAAUUCCUGGCUGGCUGCUGGUGUUUUCAGGCUGAGAUCCUGACGCAAGGACAAAGAGGAUGCUAGGGCCAUGAGGAAGUGGUCAGACAAUUCGCUGCAGUAGCCACUAAGGGAAGUGGCUGAAUAGCGGACUGCAGGUCCCCUGGAAGCAGGGAGCACAGUGUGUGGCGUGGCCGGAGGGCUGUGUCGCUGAAGUGGACGCCGCGGUCCUUCGAGAGACGUGGGUCCUAGCGCAGGAGUGAUGGCAGUGAGGAACCACUAACACAGGGCUAAUUCCUAAGACAGCCAGCAGGAGGAGCUAAAGUGCAAUACUGCAUGAUCUCCCCCCAGUAAAGGGCAGCCACGGUGAAGAGAGUUGCAAUUAUCUGAGCUGGAGUGAGUGGACUGACCUCCAUUAAGUGUUGCCUGGAUGAGGAGCUGGAGCCCACCUGCUUUGAGAGAAGCGACGACAUCGGAGGUAUCUGGAGAUUCACAGAACAUGUUGAAGAUGGGAGGCCCAGCCUUUAUAAAUCCGUGGUCAGUAACACCUGCAAGGAGAUGUCGGCCUUCACAGACUUCCCGUAUCCUGAGGAUUUUCCAGUCUUUCUGUCCAACUCCCAAGUCCUGGAGUAUCUCAGGAUGUAUGCCAAGCAGUUUGGCCUUCUGAAGCACAGCCAGUUCAAGAUGAGUUAUAAAAUGUAGUGGCUGGUCCACAUGAGAAGAUAACAAUCUACCAGAACUGCCAGCUGACGGAGGAACUUCUUCAGGGACAGAGACGUUUCAAGGCAAGUACUUUCACAGCCGCCAUUACAAGCAUCCAGAUGUGUCUGAGGGGAAGAGAGUCCUUGUGAUUGGCAUGGGGAAUUCUGGAGUGGAUAUCACCGUUGAGGCCAGUCGUGUGGCUAAAAAGAGAUGUGAUACGGGAGCCUGUGCUGAAUGAUGACCUUCCAGGCUGUAUCAUCACUGGAAAAGUCUCAGUAAAACAGUCUGAAGGAGAUCAAGGAAAACUCAGUCGUGUUUCAGAAUAGCCCACAGAGGAGCCUGUUGAUGUCAUCGUCUUUGCCACAGGAUACAAGUUCUCCUUCCCUUUCCUUAAGGAAUCUCUUUUCAAAGUUGAAAAGAAGCAGGCAUCCCUGUACACAUAUAUCUUCCCCCCCCCCCUCAUCUGGAGAAGCCAACCCUGGCCAUAGUUGGCCUCAUCAAGCCACUUGGCGCGGUCAUGCCAGUUGUAGAAAUUCAAGCUCGCUGGGUCACACGAGUCUUUAAGGGUAGGUGGAGCAGGAAGGUUAGUACGACGUGAGCACUUCCUCAAAGAAAAAGGCAGUGUUUCAGACACAGGUGGUGAGCAAGUGGGUAUGUCGCCCCAUGGCGAUGCAGACCUCAAAGGGAUUCAUCCAGGACUAGGAAAGGUAGUGCUCAUAGACUGGUAUCUAAAUUGGGUUGCUCCACACUUUACCAUCUUAUAGAACAUUUUACAACCCAGUGGCAUCCUUAAUACAUGAACAAGCAAAAUACCCCAAGAAUCAUCUUGGAAAUAGUGAGCUGGAUCUGUCUGAAUAGAAUUGCAGAGCCCUGUUUUUUCCUCUAAGAUACAGGUAACUCCCCUUGAAGAAAAGGGAAGUUUAUUUGUAUUCAGUGGUGAGAGAAGAGGGCCCUCUGUUUGUAACAAUUGGGAAGCCAUGACAUGAGCGCUCACGUCAGCUCCUUGUGGAUGGUGCAGUGGCCAGACUCACUCAAGAGUUUCAGGAGGCAUUGUGUCCCCUUGAGGCACAAUGCUUCUGAGAGCUCCCCCUGGGUUUGUGCGGCUCACCAUGGUCCCCACCACAGUCCUGGGCCUUAAAGGUACAUUCCUGACCCACUGAUAGGCAGCUGUAUCCCUUUAGGGGCAGGAAAAAUGGAAGAGCUUUUGUGUUACUAGGCAGAGCCAGUAAUAACCAGGAUUCUCCACUGCUGCACUAAGACCAGGCAGAAUCCAACAGGCUGGUUCAUCCUUUUCUCGUGGAGGGAGGCAGUUUCUCAUCACCGGAGAGAACAGUGUUACACUCAGGACAACCUGGGGCCUGAUUUUGAUCUCACAUCCACUGGUUUCACGCCAGUGUUGCUCCUUUGGGGCAGAUCCUGAUCUCAGUUAUAUCAGUGUAAUUUCAGAGUAAAUGUUGUGGACUUUAACAGGGUUACUCCAAAAUCACACUGUGUGAUUGAAAUAAUGUUCUGGUCCCUGGUUCCUACAGACGAGGAUUCAAAUCCCAGUCAUCAGAGAAAGAGCCUCCAAAGCAGUGUCUAGACUAGAAUAGAGGAGGUUGUUAGAAGGCACUAGCUAACACAUUCCAACUAAGAUGUUUGAGAAGUCUGGUGCAGACAAAGCCCUGGUGAUACCGGUAGUCUGUGGCAAUGGUUCUCAACUAGGGGUACACAGAGAUUCUCCAGGGGGUACUCAAC